GCGGUCGUGGUGAAACUGGUAGACACACCAUCUUGAGGGGGUGGCGGGGCGACCCAUGCGAGUUCGACUCUCGCCGACCGCACCA
rnacentral:tRNA from 1 species